rnacentral:rRNA from 1 species
UUAACACAUGCAAGUCGAGCGGGGGAGAUUGCUUCGGUGAUUGACCUAGCGGCGGACGGGUGAGUAAUACUUAGGAAUCUGCCUAUUAAUGGGGGACAACAUCUCGAAAGGGAUGCUAAUACCGCAUACGCCCUACGGGGGAAAGCAGGGGAUCACUUGUGACCUUGCGUUAAUAGAUGAGCCUAAGUCGGAUUAGCUAGUUGGUGGGGUAAAGGCCUACCAAGGCGACGAUCUGUAGCGGGUCUGAGAGGAUGAUCCGCCACACUGGGACUGAGACACGGCCCAGACUCCUACGGGAGGCAGCAGUGGGGAAUAUUGGACAAUGGGGGGAACCCUGAUCCAGCCAUGCCGCGUGUGUGAAGAAGGCCUUAUGGUUGUAAAGCACUUUAAGCGAGGAGGAGGCUCUCUUGGUUAAUACCCAAGAAGAGUGGACGUUACUCGCAGAAUAAGCACCGGCUAACUCUGUGCCAGCAGCCGCGGUAAUACAGAGGGUGCGAGCGUUAAUCGGAUUUACUGGGCGUAAAGCGUGCGUAGGCGGCUUUUUAAGUCGGAUGUGAAAUCCCCGAGCUUAACUUGGGAAUUGCAUUCGAUACUGGGAAGCUAGAGUAUGGGAGAGGAUGGUAGAAUUCCAGGUGUAGCGGUGAAAUGCGUAGAGAUCUGGAGGAAUACCGAUGGCGAAGGCAGCCAUCUGGCCUAAUACUGACGCUGAGGUACGAAAGCAUGGGGAGCAAACAGGAUUAGAUACCCUGGUAGUCCAUGCCGUAAACGAUGUCUACUAGCCGUUGGGGCCUUUGAGGCUUUAGUGGCGCAGCUAACGCGAUAAGUAGACCGCCUGGGGAGUACGGUCGCAAGACUAAAACUCAAAUGAAUUGACGG